rnacentral:rRNA from 1 species
UAUAUUUUAUAAAACAAAUUUUUAAAAAAUUAAUUUUAUUUUUUUUUAUUAUAUUAAAAUAAAAACUGAAAAGGAAAAUAAAAAUUUUUCAAAGAAAUAUAUUAUUCCUUUAGUAUCAGGAUUUAUUUAUUCAAAUAAUAAUUUUUUAUUCCCGAAAUUUUAAGAUCUAUUUAAUUUUAUAAACUCAUUAUAUGAACUUUUAAAAGUUAAAUUGAAAUUAAACGUUAUUCGAUUAAAUUAAUAUCUGGUAUUUUAUAAAAAAUUAUAUUAAAUAUAAUUUUUGUAAGAUAAAUUACAUUAAAAGUUUAUUUUUUUUAUAAAACUAAAUAUAGAAAUUAUAAUAUUCAAACAGUUUAAUAACUUAUUAAUUUAAUUAAAUAAAACUCUACUAAUAAAAUAUCAUCUUUAUUAUAUAAAAAUGAUAAAAUAAGUAAAUAUUUUAAAUAAAUUUAAAUAACUCAUAUAUUUAAUGACUGUUUAACAAAAACAUCUCUAUUAGAAAUAAUUAAUAGUAAGAUCUGCUCAAUGAAAUUAUUUAAUAGCCGCAAUUGUGCUAAGGUAGCAUAAUCAUUUGUCUUUUAAUUAAAGACUAGAACAAAAGAUUUAACAUUUAAAAUUAUUUCUUUAAUCUAAAUAUUAAAAUUAUCUUAAAAGUAAAAAGACUUUUAUAAAAUAGAAAGACGAUAAGACCCUAUUGAAUUUUACUUUAGUUUAACUGGGGCAGUUAAUUAAUAAAUAUUUUAAUAAUAAUAUUUAUUAAAUUGAUCUAAUAAAAUUAAUUAAAUGAUUAAAUUACCGUAGGGAUAACAGCGUAAUAAAAUUUUAAAGAUCUUAUUAAAAAUAAUAAUUGCGACCUCGAUGUUGAUUUAAUAUUCUUAUUCACGCAAUAGUAGAUAUAGAAAGUCUGUUCGACUUUUAAAAAAUUACAUGAUUUGAGUUCAGACCGGUGCAAACCAGGUCGGUUUCUAUCUUCUUAAAUUUCUUCUAGUACGAGAGGACCUAAGAAAAUAAUUAAAUU